rnacentral:lncRNA from 1 species
AACAAAACAGUUCACUUCCUCUGAAGGUGUGUUUGGAAUCAAGCACUUAAAGAAAGAGCUGGCCCACCAUGCUGAGACGAACUAGUUCUCUUGCUCAAGAAACGUUUUCUUCCUAAUCACUAAAUUUUGGCAGAUUUCAAUUGUCAUCUGCCUUUAAGAAAAUAUAAGUUUUAUAAAUCAUGGUAAAGAAAUGGAAAGGGCUAGGCAUACUGAGUAAGGUUUAGGUAACUGUUUUGUUAAUGUUAGGAUCUUCUUUUCUGAUUCAUGUUUAUUCUGGGCUUGCUCUCAAAGCUGAAACCAGGAGUAUCAGGGGAAGGAUAACAGUAUUUUGAAAAACAAGAUAAUUUCUUCUUCUUCUUCUUCUUCUUCUUCUUCUUCUUCUUCUUCUUCUUCUUCUUCUUCUUCUUCUUCUUCUUCUUCUUCUUCUUCUCUUCUCUUCUUUCUUCUUCUUUCUUCUUCUUUCUUCUUCUUUCUUCUUCUACUUUCUUCUCCUUUCUUCUUCUUCUUUUUUGUUUUGUUUUUCGAGACAGGGUUUCUCUGUAUAGCCCUGACUGUCUUGGAACUCACUUUGUAGAUCAGGCUGGCCUCAAACUCAGAAAUCGGCCUGCCUCUGCCUCCCGAGUGCUGGGAUUAAAGGCGUGAAUCACCACCACCUGCCCUUUUUUAUGUUUUUAUAUCAUAGUCAAUUUCUAGACAGAUACCAGGUACCAAAGUUAAAUCAGGAUCAGAUUAACAAUUUAAACAGUCCCCUAAAGAAAUAGAAGCAGUCAUUAAUAGUCUCCCAACC